CCACACUCAGGUCGCGUGAUUCAUAAAAUAUUUGCAAUUAAUUGUUUCAUUAAAACAAGUUUCCGUAUAUACGCCUUAGCUUAAAUAACAUUUAAAAUAUAAGUUUAAGAAAGUGUCAUACUGUAUCUUUACACUUCUUUAAAUAUACAGUCAAUAAAUCCAUGAUCAUGUUUGCAUACUGGUAGGCAAUGAUCAUUAACAAUCAAUGCACUUACCUUAUUUGUAUUCGAAUUCGUUUUGAAUUCGAUGGAUAGGUGUCCGGAAUGUAAGUUGUGUAAUGUGCAUUAGUUGCCUUCUUUAAAUAUAAGACAAAUAACCAUAGUUCUGCUUAAACAGUCGCGUUUUCCUGCAAAUAAGAUUUUCUAAAGUUGAAUCAUGUUCUCACCUUAAGGUCCACUCAAGUGGACUAUCUUCGAUUUUUGGCGUAUGAUUUGGGAGCAAAAUGUCGGGAUUGUACCCAUGGUUACAAACCUAUUUAAGCAAUCACAGGUAAAGCUUUCGUGUUUGUGAUGUCAAGCGUUUGUUUCAAUGUUAUACCAGACACUAUAUUUUGGAUUACAUGUAAUAAAACAUGCCACGUAAUGAAAUAUAGAAGUUACUUGUCAUUGAUUUGUUAACAGAGAAAAUGCUUCCAGUACUGGCCAACAAGCACUACAAAUAACUGUCAGUAUGAAGAUUACAAAAUACAACUCAUCUCGGAAAACACAUAUGCAAACUUUGUUGUUCGCACGUUGCACUGCACAAUGACGGGUUCCACUAGAGAGCACACGGUCACUCAUUUACAAUUUACCGCGUGGCCCGACAAAGAUGUUCCGGACAUAGCUCUAUCUAUUUUGCAAUUUUUAGAGAAAGGUUCGCCAUGUUGAAAACCCAAACAGUGCACCCUGGAGUGUGCAUUGCAGGUUAACACGUAAUUGUUAACAUUAAAUAUAAUGAAAACACAUGGUGUCUAGCUUUGUGCCAUGUUAUUAUCAGACCGACACUUCUACGCACCAAAAUCACAUUAUGUUAUGUAACGUGCCUUUGUGUGGGCAUGUUUGAGACUUGUGAACCUGUCAACACGUCAUAAUGACAAAUAAGAUUCGCUUAAACUGCAAGUGUGUCUCCAUCUAUUUUCUUGUUACCUCAUCUGAUUUGUCGUUUUGCGUGUUGGCUGGUUUGGAGAGUACUAACACCCGAACGCGUCAGAGCGACAUAUUUAUACGCCAACGCGACACUUAUGGUAUGUGUCGUUCUUUCGUUUAAGGGGUUUUGCGCCAAUCCAUCAAGAUAUAGCAAAAAUCAGCCGCCAUAAUAGCAUACUGACGCUCAAUUCUUCAUAUUAACGUCCGAUUGUGUCAACGUGUAUGUAUGUUUUUUUUCUCUUCAGUUAUGGCGUAGGUAGAACGGGAACUUUAAUCGCACUUGAUUAUCUUUACGAUCAAGGAGUGGCAGAGAAACAGAUAAAUGUUUUUGACGCUGUACUUCUUCUUCGUCAACAAAGAAUAAAUAUGGUUCAGACCAAGGUUCAAUACAAUAAUCAAUUUUCACUAUUAAUAUUUCUUACAACCACAUGAUAUAUCGCGUGUAUAUAUCAAUAACAAACAAAUCCAAUUUAUUAAUAAUAGCAAUUAAAAUAUAUUACUUUCGGAAAACAACAGUAAUACACAUAUCAUUACAACGGUGUUCAACAUUGCAUCUAUAUGUAAUAUGUCAUGCAGAACCAGUACCUAUACCUUCACGAAGUAUUGUGCGACGCCAUUUGUUCAAUAGGCGAAGUGUCGACACCCAAGGAUUUUAUAAACAACAAACGCACAAAUGAAUCGCUGAACCAGGAAUAUCAGUUGAAUAUUAGAAUUAUGUUAACUUUUUCAUUCGAGAACGAUCGCGUGCGUGUUGACAUUUCAUAAUUGCAGUUUGCUAUCUUAUACUUCCAGUCGUGUAUUUUGGUGACAUCAUUACGCGAGAAAGUAUUGAUUUACGUUUCUAUCGAAAGUUUGCCAAUCCCACGUCCCUGAUCGGGUAGAAGCUGAAACAGGCGGUGAAUACAUGAUGGUCCUAGACGGAGAAAAACCCGACAAUGUGAAUACAAACGUUGACCCAUGCGUUGUCCCAGACAUUCCGAAAGAAAGAUCGAUUGAUACUUACCCAAAGUGCACGAGUGAGCUCUGAAAUUGAUUUUGUACGAUUGCUACACGACCACUUUAUUACAACGGUGGUGACCUUCUGUGACGAGGUGGAACCGUACAUGCCGAGCAGUAAUGAUAGCUGUUUGUUCGGACCAUUCACAGCCAGAACAAUUUCAGAAACUCAGAAACAGCAUUAUCAGGACUCCGUUGUGAAAUUUAAACAUAUUGCUGAGCACGAGAGUUUUGAAGUGAGAUUUAUCAGAUAUACACACUGGUCGAACGCAUUGGAUACCUAUAACAGCAGAUACCUUAUGAGCGUUUUAAUUGAUGUCCAAGAAAGUGUCUGUGAGAGACCAGUCAUACUUAAGUGUCGUGACGGAUACAGCCGGAGUGGAUUGUUUGCGGUUCUAUUGUGUCUGGUGGAGCGAAACAAGCAGGACGGGGAGGUGGUUGUGGCAAAAACAGUGAGGAUGAUCAGAAGACGGAGGAAUCAAGUAAGCACUAACGAGGCACAAUAUCAAUUUUGUCAUCAGUUCAUGAAAGAGUACAUCGAGGGAUGUCGGGUAUAUGCCAAUUCAUAAUGUACUUGAUACAAGAAUACAAUAAUCAAACUUCCUUGAUGGAAUGCAUUUGAGGAAGAUUUUAUUGACUUUAUUAUUUCAGAUACAUAUCGUUUAUCACUAUUAAAAUGAGUACAUGUUUUAAUGAUGUUUGAUAUUAUCAUGCUGUGUGCAUAUUGCUGUAUGGUUUAUGUAUGUAUUUAUAAAAUAUACACAUGAAUCCACGUACAAAAAAUUACAUCCUAACAUAUAAUGUAUAUUUUACAAUUGAUAAAUGCUUGCUCUAUCUAUGUUUGAUUAGAUUCAUGUCCGUAUUUUUUGUAUAUUGAAGCUUGUAAGUGUAGGUAGUUAAUGUCAUAAAAUGUCUUCCUCCAAUGUUAAAAUACAAUAAAGUAUUUUAUGAUGAAAUCACAUAUCCAUGUAAGAAUACCAUGUUCAAAUGAUGAAUGUGGAUGCUCAGUGGGUUAACAUAAGAGUGUGGUUAUUUUUUUGUUUUUUAAUAUUUCCAAGCUCUGUUCUCAUAGCUAAUUGUACAUAUGACGAAGAUAAAAGACAAGGGAAUGGUAGGACGAGAUCCUUUCGUAAUAAUGUAUAAGAAGUUUGUUAUUCCAUAUAUAUUUACCCAAUAUAUACCAUAAUGCGCAUAUGAUUUUUUAUGAGAUACUAGUAACUGUUUUGAACGUGAACAGGGUGAGCUUAAAGUUUACUUUCUGCACCAAAAUACAUUAAAUACUCCUCUAAAUCUAAGCGCCAAUACACAUGUAACAUCUUUAUAAUAAGAAAUCAAUGUAUGUGCAAAACCGGAAUGUUCCUUAUACGAUUUGACUGACGAUAGUAUUAUGGUUUGUAUUCACUUAUGAAUUAUUAUUGUUUGCAUGCCAUUUAUCAUAUUACAUGAACGUGAUAAUUACCUUUAUUAGUGCAACAUGUUACUGUUUAUUGUGAUGUUGUAAUAAGGACAACUGUGUAAUAAUUUUGCUAAUACCAAACGUUUCUUUAGAUUUUAAAAUAUUAUUUUCACAUGAAUCAUAAUUUGUUAUCAAUAUAAAAACAUUUCCCAAGGGCAAAAGAACGAAAAUGUAUAUCAAUAAAUUCCUGUUAAUGCAUUUGCAAAUCGGAUUUUCGGAUUAACAAUGUAUAAUAUUCUCGUUUUAUUAUGUUCGAUAGCUGUAUUUACAAAUUGAAGAUACCUUGAUUUGCAAACAUUACCUGAUAAUUGAAUUUGGUGAUUGGGUUGCCUUUGUUAUUAGCAAAUAAAUAAAUUUUUAACAAUAUGCCGAUCUCGUUCUAAAUGUUUUAAAAUGUAUCAACGCUAAAAGCAAGAAGCAUAACAAAACCAUCGAGUGAUUUGCAGUGAUAACACAUAAAAAUAAUAAGAAGGAGCCUGUAACACGACCUAUUAUUUAUCAUUUUCAUUUUUGAGAAAUGUAGACAAAGUCAUGGGCGCCCAAAAUUUUAAUUAUUUAAACAUCAUCAUGGAGUAAAUGUUUACGAUUAUCAAUAUUAAAAUUAUGUCAUUCCAUACUCGGUUAAGGAAAUGACAAACCAUCUUUAUAUUAAAUAAUCAAAAUAUUAUAGUUACCGUAGAAACUGUUUAGAGUA